rnacentral:rRNA from 1 species
AACGAACGCUGGCGGCAUGCCUAACACAUGCAAGUCGAACGAGACCUCCGGGCUUUUUUGCGGUCGGCUGAUUAACGACUGGGAAGUAACACUUAGGUUAGCUACACCUCCCUGUAAGGUGAGCUCAUAAAGCUUAAUGUCAUAGGACAUAAGAUUUGCUGCCUUAGGAUGGGCGCGGGUUGGAUUAGCUAGUUGGUAGUGUAAAAGCCUGCCAAGGCGACGAUCCAUAGCUGGUGUGUUAGGAUGAUCAGCCACACUGGGACUGAGACACGGCCCAGACUCCUACGGGAGGCAGCAGUGGGGAAUAUUGGACAAUGGGCGAAAGCCUGAUCCAGCAAUGCCGCGUGAGUGAUGAAGGCCUUAGGGUUGUAAAGCUCUUUUACCCGGGAUGAUAAUGACAGUACCGGGAGAAUAAGCUCCGGCUAACUCCGUG